GCCAGACUCCUACGGGAGGCAGCAGUGGGGAAUAUUGCACAAUGGGGGAAACCCUGAUGCAGCGACGCCGCGUGAGCGAAGAAGUACCUCGGUAUGUAAAGCUCUAUCAGCAGGGAAGAAAGUGACAGUACCUGACUAAGAAGCCCCGGCUAACUCCGUGCCAGCAGCCGCGGUAAUACGGAGGAUGCGAGCGUUAUCCGGAUUUAUUGGGUUUAAAGGGUGCGUAGGCGGAAUGCCAAGUCAGCGGUAAAAUCGCGGGGCUCACCCUCGCUCCGCCGUUGAAACUGGCGUUCUUGAGUGGGCGAGAAGUAUGCGGAAUGCGUGGUGUAGCGGUGAAAUGCAUAGAUAUCGCGCAGAACUCCGAUUGCGAAGGCAGCAUGCCGGCUCCACACUGACGCUGAGGCACGAAAGCGUGGGUAUCGAACAGGAUUAGAUACCCUGGUAUG
rnacentral:rRNA from 1 species